ACACUGGUGGUUCAGUGGUAGAAUUCUAGCCUUCCAUGUGAGAGACCUCAGUUUGAUUCCCGGCCAAUGUA
rnacentral:tRNA from 1 species